UACGUAGGAGGCGAGCGUUGUCCGGAGUUACUGGGCGUAAAGGGUGCGCAGGCGGUGGCCCGCGUGGGCGGUGAAAGCUCCUGGCUCAACUGGGAGAGGGCCGUCCAGACGGGGUCACUUGAGGGGCGGAGAGGGGCGUGGAAUUCCGGGUGGAGCGGUGAAAUGCGUAGAGAUCCGGAGGAACACCGACGGCGAAGGCGGCUCACUGGCCCGGUACUGACGCUGAGGUGCGAAAGCGUGGGGAGCAAACAGG
rnacentral:rRNA from 1 species